UUUUCUCUGUUAAAAGGGUGUUUUUACGUCAAUGGCCAAAACGGCUUAUAAGUCGGUUCAAAGACGAGUUCUAAAGAUUUUUGACGCUUUAAAACAUGCUUGAAGAUUUACUGUGUGUUUUUUUUUUAAAUUUAUGUGGGACAGUUUGUUGCAGCUUGAAACUUAUAGAAAAGUAAAAGAUUUAACUUUACAAGCGGACCAUUCGGCCCUUUGAUGUCGCUUCAAAUUCCUGCUCAUAGGCAUAAUAUUUAUCUCACUGUAUUAACUUGUGUCUUCAAUCAACUGUAUAUCUUCUUUAUAAUAGUUAAUAAUAUAAAAAUCUGAACAGAGCUAUGUAAUGGCAAACGUUGGUAUUAGGGAGUAUAAUCAUCAUAUUAUGAGAUAUAGAUUACCAAACCAGUUCCCAUUUCAGCGUUCUUAAACUUAUGAAAGUCCUUGACGUCGACUAUUUAAAGUAUAUAAAGGCGACAGUCUGGUGCAUCUGGGCGAGUCCUAAUAAUGGGGUGUUCGAUCGGAAGAGGAGCUCGCUAGAUAGUGGUGGAGCCGCAGCGAGCGCAACCGUAGCGAGUAUAAUCCUUUACUGAUGGUUUGGGAAUGAGAGAACGAGAAUAGGAAUGCUAGAACGUGUUUGUUUGGGUGGAUGACGGCGUCAUUAUGAUCUUUUUUUUGGCUUUUUGCACUGGUUGUGGAUGUGUGAGAGUGUAACUCUUCAUGGUUCAAUUGUUAUUAAUGUUUGAAGUUCAUAUGUUCACAUGAAUG